rnacentral:rRNA from 1 species
UACGUAGGGUCCGAGCGUUGUCCGGAAUUAUUGGGCGUAAAGGGCUCGUAGGCGGUUAGUCACGUCGGGAGUGAAAACUCAGGGCUCAACCCUGAGCGUGCUUCCGAUACGGGCUGACUAGAGGUAUGCAGGGGAGAACGGAAUUCCUGGUGUAGCGGUGGAAUGCGCAGAUAUCAGGAGGAACACCGGUGGCGAAGGCAGGUCUCUGGGCAUUAACUGACGCUGAGGAGCGAAAGCAUGGGGAGCGAACAGG